GAUGAACGCUGGCGGCGUGCUUAACACAUGCAAGUCGAACGAAGCACUUAAGUUUGAUUCUUCGGAUGAAGACUUUUGUGACUGAGUGGCGGACGGGUGAGUAACGCGUGGGUAACCUGCCUCAUACAGGGGGAUAACAGUUAGAAAUGGCUGCUAAUACCGCAUAAGACCACAGCGCCGCAUGGUGCAGGGGUAAAAACUCCGGUGGUAUGAGAUGGACCCGCGUCUGAUUAGCUAGUUGGUGGGGUAACGGCCUACCAAGGCGACGAUCAGUAGCCGACCUGAGAGGGUGACCGGCCACAUUGGGACUGAGACACGGCCCAAACUCCUACGGGAGGCAGCAGUGGGGAAUAUUGCACAAUGGGGGAAACCCUGAUGCAGCGACGCCGCGUGAAGGAUGAAGUAUUUCGGUAUGUAAACUUCUAUCAGCAGGGAAGAAAAUGACGGUACCUGACUAAGAAGCCCCGGCUAACUACGUGCCAGCAGCCGCGGUAAAAC
rnacentral:rRNA from 1 species